rnacentral:rRNA from 1 species
UACGUAGGGUGCAAGGCGUUGUCCGGAAUUAUUGGGCGUAAAGAGCUCGUAGGCGGUCUGUCGCGUCUGCUGUGAAAACCUAGGGCUUAACUCUGGGCGUGCAGUGGGUACGGGCAGGCUAGAGUGCGGUAGGGGAGACUGGAAUUCCUGGUGUAGCGGUGAAAUGCGCAGAUAUCAGGAAGAACACCGAUGGGCGAAGGCAGGUCUCUGGGCAUUAACUGACGCUGAGGAGCGAAAGCAUGGGGGAGCGAACAGG